ACGAUGUCUACUAGUUGUCGGGUCUUAAUUGACUUGGUAACGCAGCUAACGCGUGAAGUAGACCGCCUGGGGAGUACGGUCGCAAGAUUAAAACUCAAAGGAAUUGACGGGGACCCGCACAAGCGGUGGAUGAUGUGGAUUAAUUCGAUGCAACGCGAAAAACCUUACCUACCCUUGACAUGGCUGGAAUCCUUGAGAGAUUGAGGAGUGCUCGAAAGAGAACCAGUACACAGGUGCUGCAUGGCUGUCGUCAGCUCGUGUCGUGAGAUGUUGGGUUAAGUCCCGCAACGAGCGCAACCCUUGUCAUUAGUUGCUACGAAAGGGCACUCUAAUGAGACUGCCGGUGACAAACCGGAGGAAGGUGGGGAUGACGUCAAGUCCUCAUGGCCCUUAUGGGUAGGGCUUCACACGUCAUACAAUGGUACAUACAGAGCGCCGCCAACCCGCGAGGGGGAGCUAAUCGCAGAAAGUGUAUCGUAGUCCGGAUUGUAGUCUGCAACUCGACUGCAUGAAGUUGGAAUCGCUAGUAAUCGCGGAUCAGCAUGUCGCGGUGAAUACGUUCCCGGGUCUUGUACACACCGCCCGUCACACCAUGGGAGCGGGUUUUACCAGAAGUGGGUAGCCUAACCGCAAGGAGGGCGCUCACCACGGUAGGAUUCGUGACUGGGGUGAAGUCGUAACAAGGUAGCCGU
rnacentral:rRNA from 1 species